CGGGAUGUAGCGCAGCCUGGUUAGCGCGUUUGUCUGGGGGACAAAAGGUCGUGAGUUCGAUUCUCAUCAUCCCGACCA
rnacentral:tRNA from 1 species